CCUUUCUGUUGCACUUAAGUCCAGAUUCGCUCUGACCAUUCCCGCUCACAAGCAGAGAGCGACACAGCACCACAGUGCCCAAAGGCCAUAGAAAUUGCCACAGAGGUGGGGGCAGAGAUCGUCUUCAAGGUUGUUGUCACCUGGAAUUUUAUGUCCUUCAUUUUCUUUCAAUCUGUAUGCCUGUCACAUCGGCUUAACUACAAGAGAAGACCCUGCUUGCCUUAAAGCCUGACUGGUUUCUUCCAGCCUUACUAGCUGAUGUAAAGAAAGAAAAUGCUUCUUCUUACAGUUCUGGACAGUACUCUGCAAGUCGUCUUGGAGAUUGGAAAGACUGUGAAGCCUUCUGGGAAGAAUCUUUCCUCAGCUUUUAUUUGCUCACUCCAAACAGAUGUAAUUAAUUCUGCACAAACACAGAUAUGCACAACUCUUACAAGUGACUAGUUUUCAGAAUCAAUAGCAAAAAUACAACCUAUUGUGAUUUGUGUUUUUAAAGCUGCAUAGCAAAGGCUGAUCAGCAGGGCAUUCACAGUCUAGAGGCAAACCCCUUACACAGGCAAAUUAUGGACUGGAUGGACAGAAACAGGUUGCUACCUCUUCGUUUCUGCAGGAUUUUCUCUACUGCCAGGUCCAGUUCCAUAAAAUACAACCUUCAAAUGGAGGGGGGACUAAUCCUAUUCCAAGUUACAUGUGCCUAAUUUCAAAGCUUUAUGCCUGAGUGCUAUCCACAUUCAGAUGGACACUGCGUGUUGCUCACUCUUCAUAUUCAUACACUUUUAUUGCUUUGAUUCAGUUUACAAAACAGUUUAUAAAAAGUUAGCUUGAGAUGCUGUAUUCCUGUUUCCUCCAGUAAGGUGUAGUCAGUCAGUAAAUAUAAGCAGUAUAGUUUCUUUUUAUCUUUCCUCUUCUAAGAAACGCUGGUUUAUAAUGGGUUAAAAAUCUGCUGCUAAGCACUGGCCAUUUUAAGGUGUAUUCUUCUCCCCUGCUGAUUUGCCCUCUGACCUUCUGGGGGCCAGAGUGGCUGCAGACUUCAUUUUUACUCUAUUUCCUGGUCUCUCUCCUGGCUGUGCUCUCAAUGCUUCCACAGCAGAUUAAUGACAGCUAAUAAUAUCUGAUAUAUCUGGACAUUGCCACAUAAUGAGUUGCAGUCCCACUGGGUGCCCGAAGUGUCACUACUAACAAAUUCACCAGAGCAGCACAUAAUUAGCAUGUAAAGGGAGUGAUCAUGCAGUAAAUCUGGAGGGGAAGAUGGAUAGCCCAUGAGGAAAAACUAUAAGGGAAAACUACUAUUCUUAACACUCAUUGGUAAAUGUAUGUUUCUUGCCAUGAAUAUUUUCUUGAUAACAAACUGUGGACAGGUUACCUUUACAGUAACAUUAUUCCUUCCACGGCUGAUAGGCAGAAUUUCAUUAUGCCACUGCUAAUGUUACAAUAUUUCUGCAAAAUGUCACCAUAUGUAAAUUAGAAGAGGUUAGGGUUUCCGUCUUAGUUUUCUUUCAAGAUGCACUGUCCCUUUCUGCUAUGGCCUAAUUCCCCUUUCUACUAGUUUACAGACAUGUUAACAUUGAUCCAACCUUGCAAAAUAAAAUUGGCACUGGACUAUCUUCCUUCUCCAAUAGCUAAAUAAGAAGGAUGAAACUCCACACAUGAUGGAACAAAGAUAGGAGAAUAGAAAUGAGCUUACUUGAUGAGGUUUUAUUCAAAGUAUAACCUCUCCUGAUACAUCAGAAUAUACCCAAUAAAAUAAAAUGGAUCCAUGGACAAUGUGAGUUACCUGACCUCAUCCAAUCACAGGUCUCUAUCUUGUGACCAUCUGGCUGACCAUCACACCCCAAGUGCUGCCUGUAGUUUGGGUGUGGGCAAAGAGGCUUUCCCAAGAGGAGGAGGUCGAUAAGGAGCAGAUGAAUUGUCCUGAUGGGCUGCAUUCAGCCUGAAGAGACCUAAAUGGGACAGCUCUGCUCUAGUUUCAGCCAUUUGUCCUCAUUAGAAACCAUUGCUCAGCAGUGUUAAAGAGUUCAUUUCAGUUUGAAGUUGUGUCAUUUACAGGCCUUUUGCUUCUUUGACAUCUGUGUGGGAACACUUGCAUUUAAAUCUCCAGCUCUGAGGUUUAUUUGAGUAAUUGACCAAAAUGUGAUUAAUUCCAAGGGCAAGGGUUCAGGUUUUUUAAUUAUUAUUUUGCUGAACAGAGAGGCCUUUGGCCCUGACGGCUUCAGACUUUAAACUGUUCUUGUUCACGAGGCCCUUAUGUCAUUUGAGGGAAAAAAAAGUUAACAAGGAAGCCUCACUUAAAAAAGCAAACUGAAAUCCCAAAACACAAACAAAAGAUGCUUCCUAUAACAGAGAUA